CGCGCGCUUUUCAUGCCUUGGCGUUUCCUUUGGCGGAUUUUCUGUUUUCAGAAGUUGCUGGGUUCGUUUUAUUCAGCGGCAGUGGUGCUUUCCCGAAUCUCAGAAUGCCUGUUAAAAGAUCACUGAAGUUGGAUGGUCUGUUAGAAGAAAAUUCAUUUGAUCCUUCAGAAAUCACAAGGAAGAAAAGUGUUAUAACUUAUUCUCCAACAACUGGAACUUGUCAAAUGAGUCUAUUUGCUUCUCCCACAAGUUCUGAAGAGCAAAAGCACAGAAAUGGACUAUCAAAUGAAAAGAGAAAAAAAUUGAAUCACCCCAGUUUAACUGAAAGCAAAGAAUCUACAACAAAAGACAAUGAUGAAUUCAUGAUGUUGCUAUCAAAAGUUGAGAAAUUGUCAGAAGAAAUCAUGGAGAUAAUGCAAAAUUUAAGUAGUAUACAGGCUUUGGAGGGCAGUAGAGAGCUUGAAAAUCUCAUUGGAAUCUCCUGUGCAUCACAUUUCUUAAAAAGAGAAAUGCAGAAAACCAAAGAACUAAUGACAAAAGUGAAUAAACAAAAACUGUUUGAAAAGAGCACAGGACUUCCUCACAAAGAAUCACGUCAUCUUGACAGCUAUGAAUUCCUUAAAGCCAUUUUACACUGAGAAACCUGACAGUACUCCUGAUAUCACCGUGGCCAACUUCCCUACCUGCACAACAGCUCCAGCCCUCUGUCACACUUCAGUGAUUAUUCCUCUUGACCUGUAAUUGUUCAGUGGGGAGGACUGUCCCAUACAAAUUCACUCCCAGAGCCUUUAAAAAGUGAAGCCUUUGUGAAACAAUGCUAGAAUAAGAGAGAAAGUAAGGGUGACAGCAACCCAGAGGCCACAGCCAGAGUGCUAAGACCAUCAAAAGAUGGGAAGAGAAAAACAUUUUGGCUAAUGAUAACGGGAUAUUGGGAUACUUUAGUAACAAUGUGGAUGAAUCAUUUGGGUAACACAAGGAUGAGGCUUAGUAUGAACAAAGCGCUGUGUAUUAUGACAGUUUGAAACCUAAUAAGGACACAAAAUAUAAGGCAAGUUAUGAUAAAUGAUACAAGUUCAGACUCUUAUAAGUUCUGGCCAAUAACAAGUACAAACAAGGAUUGUGCAUCCAAUGAGGAUCAAAGUAUCAACUUGAUUGGUGGUGGAAUUGAUAACCCCCAACAUGGCAGGCUCUCUGGUAGAAGCUUGGGGUAACUAAGGUAGAUUGCCUUAAAGCAGAACUGCAACCUCUUCUUUCUCACACUAAGUCUAAAUCUUGAAUUCUGUGCACUUUACUGAACCUGAAAGCUGGAUCUUUUAAAUAGACCCCCAAGUCCGUGUGACUCUUAAUGCUGUGAAGACCACAAGCCUGCCUUUUACAUGCUUGACUGCAGGUCAGCACAAUAGAAUGGGUUGGUCUCCCUACUGCGUGAAAUUAGGAAGUAUUAUAAUAAAAAAGGUUCACUGGGAUUGAGAGUAGACAGUGAUAGGGAAACUACAAGGAGGGAAGAAUUUGUGUAAUGUUACUAGUAAAAUGUAGACCAAUGAAUGUUCUGGACUUUGGCCAAUCAAAUUUGUCACACUUCCAUGGAGUACAGAGGAAGAGUCGACAGAAGUUUCUUCCCCUUCAGACUGAGAAGUAUAAACAUUAUUCUCUACUGCAUUAAAAAGAAAUGCACUCACCAUGAGCACCAACUUCUGCAUCUGCCUGAUCAUAUUUAAAGGAACAGAGAAAUAUUUGUAAUUAAUCUGCCCAGUAAAUACCAGCUCAUAGCAGUUGGCAGGUGCAUGUCUGGAUAAAAUUUCUUGCAGCUAAUUUAAACUUUCUACACGCACCAGUAGAUAAUCUCAAUGUAAAUAAUACAUUUCUUCUUGGCUCUUUAAUGUAAGCCAACAUGGAGAGGAAGAUCUUGACUUAUAUUCUGUACCACAUACACUUCUGUGGACUUUUAGCAUUUGUGGGUAGACUUAAUAAAGCAUGUAUAAAAGUGGCACCUUUGGUAGAACUAUAUGUUUUCCUGAAAUUCAGAUUAAAUGUAAUGAUGAGUGGAAUUAAGUACCAGUUUUCCCAUUUAAAGCCCCAGCUGCUUAUUAAUUUAUAGAUUCUGUAAAAAUUUCUUUAAAGAUUUAUCUAGUCUAUUGUGUAGCCACUAUCUCAGGAGUGAGUUUUUAUUUUCCUAUGCUUAUAGAGAAAAAAACAUUUUCAAGGUUUUAAAAUUUUACACCAUUUAUAAAAUAUUAGAAUGUAUUUUUUCAGUACAAAUGUUUAAAAUAUGAAGUUUUUUUUGAACUAAACUACAAAGAGUACUGAAUUUAAAGAAAAGACCUUUAUUAAGGGGCAAUAUGUGAUCCAUUCCAAAUUAUUUUGAAAUAUUAAAUUUCAGUUAUUCCGUGGUGUUUUCUGUCAUCAUCAUGUUUUUGUUGUCACUCCCAAAAUAAAGGGGAGGAGGGAAUCACAGAGUAUGUUAUCUUGAUAGUGAAACCUAUGCUUUUCUUGACCAUUUCUGUAAGGAAAAACUGCUACUCCUUUGGUACUUGCCCUAAAUUUUAACAAAAUUAGUAGAAAAUAUUACCAUGUCAUUUGAAUAUAUCAUGAAAAAUAAAAACUACAUGAAAAUCUGAAACAAAAUAUAACAAAUUAAGGUUGAAAAUUUUCCACUGCGUGCAAUGGCACAAGCCUUUAAUCCCAGCUACUACUCGGGAGGCUGAAACAGGAGGAUUGCUUGAGCCCAGGACUGGGCAACACAGCAAGACACCUAUCUCAGAAAAAAAGAAAAUAAUUCACUUUCCACUUAGAGAAAUUUUAGAUUCACCUUUUUAAAAUGAAAGGUUUUUAAAAACUGUUACUAUAAAUUAUAUAAAUUACCUUCAUUAAUUAUGUUCUUCAUACUGUUUAAGAAAUUUAUUCUGAUACAGUGCUUAUAAUAGGAUGUUACCAAAAAUAUACUAAAAAAGGAUUAUUAUAGCAUUGAAAACUAACCUUAGGUUAUAAGCCAAAACAUUUUAUAAAGUAAUCUAUGUUAGUCAGGUAAUACAGGGUUAAGAAGUAGAUCGGUUUCAUAUAUAAUCCAAGUUAUAUAGGUAUGUGCUUAAUGCUGUUAAACCAGUUACUGUAUGUUUGACCUCUUGAUAUACUAAGCUUUUGCCUUUUAGAACAGCUGGGUCUGCUGAGAAUCAUUUCCCAGUUCUUUUCAUUGUAGAUCAGAUGACUCUCACUUUAUCACCCUUGGAGGCCACAUGAAGGACAAAGCAGAAAGAUCCACACACACAACUAAUGUUUAUAUGAGGGGAGGGGGAGUUGCAGGGGAUAUACUUGCCCUGAUCUUCCAAUGAACAUAACAGAAGAGAGACCAAUUGAGACUUGAAACCACUGCGUUACUUUAACCAUUAUUUAGUUAUAUCCUAUCCAUCUCUUUCUCUCUGUUGAACAGAGAGGUUCCUUUGGCUGCCUUGACUUUUGUAAAUGUUUCACUCAAUUUGUUGUGGUUUAUCAUUUGGACAGAAUGCUACAUUGGGGAUUUUUCGCCCCCACUAAGUCCUCAAAGGAAAAUGACUUCUGUAUGCCUCAUAUAUGAUACAUGAACAUACACCCUAUUCUCUUCAUUUUAAGAAGCAACCCUAAGUUUAUUGGCAGCUGAAAAAACUGCAUUUCUCAGAAAUACCUCCUCCAUCUAAAAUGUACUUGAACAUAAUUUUGAAGGGCUUAUUUUUUGACAGGUAUAUUAAUGAAGAAAGUGAGAAAUCUAUCUUUAAUAUUUUUGCAUAACCUAAAUGUAUUUAUAUGAAAACAUCCCUAUAGCCCUGAGUUUAGCUAAGAGAAAUGCUUUGGAAUUGCCUACUUCUGUGAUAAUUCAUCACUGGAUAUUUUUGAUAUUUUGCUUUUUUUGAGAUGGUGUCUCACUGGUCUCAAGCGAUCAUCCUGUAUCAGCCUCUCAAAUACAGACCGCUGUGCCUGGCCUCUGUUUCUGGUAUUUUGUUUUGGUAUUUUGGAACCUAAUCCCUCUAAGUUCAAUAUAAACUCUUAAACCGGUUUUUAAUAGAUAUGAGGGAUACUUAUAACUGCUACAAGUCUCUAUAAAAACUAUAGUGCAACUCAGUAUGAUUAGAUUAAAUCAUCUGAAGAAUGAUUUAAGAAUUUACCUAUAUGGUACCUUACAGAAUUUACCUAGAUGAUACCUUGAAUCAGGUGCAUUUCAUUUUACUAAUAUAUAUACGUAAUACUUUUAUUUCCAAAUAAUAAAGUUAUGCUACUCCAAUUA